rnacentral:rRNA from 1 species
UACGGGGGGGGCAAGCGUUGUUCGGAAUUACUGGGCGUAAAGGGCUCGUAGGUGGCCAACUAAGUCAGACGUGAAAUCCCUCGGCUUAACCGGGAACUGCGUCCGAUACUGGCGGGCUUGAAUCCGGGAGAGGGAUGCGGAAUUCCAGGUGUAGCGGUGAAAUGCGUAGAUAUCUGGAGGAACACCGGUGGCGAAGGCGGCAUCCUGGACCGGCAUUGACGCUGAGGCGCGAAAGCUAGGGGAGCAAACGGG